rnacentral:rRNA from 1 species
CAMCUKGUUGCAGUUAAAGCUCGUAGUUGGAUUUCGGGCGGCGCGUCGCGGUCUGCCAUUGGUACGUACUGCGCCCGCGUCGCCUUGCUGCCGGGGACGCGCUCCUGGGCUUCACUGUCUGGGACGCGGAGUCGGCGAGGUGACCUUGAGCAAACAGGAGUGUUCAAAGCAAGCGCACGCUCUGAACUUUUUAGCAUGGAAUCACGCGAUAGGACUCUGGCCUAUCCCGUUGGUCUGUAGGACCGGAGUAAUGAUUAAGAGGGACAGUCGGGGGCAUUCGUAUUUCAUUGUCAGAGGUGAAAUUCUUGGAUUUAUGAAAGACGAACUUCUGCGAAAGCAUUUGCCAAGGAUGUUUUCAUUGAUCAAGAACGAAAGUUGGGGGCUCGAAG